UCAGCAGCGGUCUUGAGCCGUAAAGCCAUGCGCUGGGCCGCGAGCGGGCUGAAUUGGCCAAUAUAGUCGCGGAUAGCCGUCAGAUCGGCCAGCGCACGCCAAGUCCAGACUACUUGCGCCACGUCUCGGGCGCGGGCUUUUCUUCGGGCGUCCCCCAAGUGUCGAGCCAGGCGGAGACCUCUUCGUGGGGUACAACGCGGCCGGCUGCGAUGUCGGCCAUGCCUUCCGCAUCGGCGGCCUCUUCGGCUUCCGCGUCAAUCUCGAAGAUGGACGGCUCGGGGACCAUGAAGCGAGCAUAGCAUAUCGCCAUACCCUCUCAAUGCCGCCCCGGGGUCACAGCCUUUGAGCGUGAAACGCCAGGUGAUCGCCGAUGAAGGUCGAGAUGAAGAAGUAGCUGUGGUCAUAGCCGUCCUGUCGGCGGACCGUGACCUUGCGGCCGGCCUUGGCGGCGGCGGCUUCGAUCAGCUGCGGCUUCAGCUGGUUUUCCAGGAAGCUGUCGGCCAGGCCCUGGU
rnacentral:sRNA from 1 species